UACGUAGGGGGCAAGCGUUGUCCGGAAUUAUUGGGCGUAAAGAGCGUGUAGGCGGCCAGAAAAGUCCGCUGUGAAAACUCGAGGCUCAACUUCGAGCUGUCGGUGGAAACUUUCUGGCUAGAGUCCGGAAGAGGAGAAUGGAAUUCCUGGUGUAGCGGUGAAAUGCGCAGAUAUCAGGAAGAACACCCGUGGCGAAGGCGGUUCUCUGGGACGGUACUGACGCUGGAGACGCGAAAGCCGUGGGGAGCGAACAGG
rnacentral:rRNA from 1 species